UUGUAUUGUAUAAUGUUUAAGUCCGGCUACACAUACCUGUCUCCUCAAAUAGUAUCAUUUCUUUAUGGUAAAAAUAUUCAAAAUCCUUCUCCUUCUCCCUUUUUUGAAAUAUACAGCACAAUAUUAUUAUUUAUAGACACUCUACUAUGCAAUAGAACAACAGAACUACUUAUGCCCAUUGAACUUGAACUCAGAACCCAUUGAUCAACCUCUCCCCAUGCUUCCCUGCACUCGGCUUUCCCCAGCCCCUGGUAACCACCAUUCCACUCUUAACUUCUAUGAAGUGAACUUUUUAAUAUUCCACAUGAGUGAGACCCUGGAGUACUUGUCUUCCUGUGC
rnacentral:lncRNA from 1 species